CAAGUCAAGUCAAGAGUAUUUCUCGAGCACUUUCAAACAGCCAUCGCUGCAUACAAAGUGCUGUACAUGGAGCAAUUUAACAUACCCAAUAAACAGUAAGACGAAUCGGUAAUAAAGGCGGUAGAAAGCACCAAGCAGUAAAAUCAAGAACAAAUCUAAGUCAUGCAUAUUAUUACACACACAUAUAUACACACACAUAAUUAUUAUUAUCUACACAGGUAGACUCUGGACACUCUGGACACUGGACACUCUGGACUUGUAGUUAAUCAAUCACAGUGAAUGUCUAGGGGCAUGUUCAUUUUUGUGGCAGCAGCAAAGAAAUGAAUUGACCUCAAAUCAAAUGCGGCCAUUUGCAGUCCAAACAUUUGAAUAUUGAAGUGAGUCCCUAAUCGUGUCAGUGAAAAAUACCGUACCACUGUAAAGGCGAAACAACUACAGUCAAACCUCAGUUUUUGAACGUCUCUGUUAUCGACCAAAUCAGAUUUCGACCAGAAAAUUUGAUAUUUUUACACCUCGGAUUACAACCGAAAACCUGUUUUCGACCAAACUGAGCAAAGCAGAAUACGCUACUUGACUCCUCUCGCCUUCCUUAGUUCAUUGUGAGCAGACGUGUUUGUUGUGAUUUACGCAAAUCUGACUGUUUUUAUGUUAUUUAUGCAUAGCGUAUGAGCCCUUAAUCAUGGGCUCAUAAAAUAGUUUCGGAUUUCGAACAAAUCGCUUUUCGAACAGCCUUCUGAAAUGGAUCAUGGUCGAAAACCGAGGUAUGAUUUGUAUUACAAUUUGGGAACUCUUUAUCAGGCUGUGUCUAAUAUAUAUAUAUAAAGUGUCCCUCAACGGGCACUUGAUUAUUGCAUUGCAAGCCGCUCCUACAACUGAUAACAUACAUGUGUGGGUGAUGGAGCCAAAUGUUUUAUUUUCCUUGUAAAAUUUGAUGUCGACGUGAACUUGCCGCAAGUGGUUCCGCGCUGCAAUUGGUCGUCUCAGUGACUAACUGCAUGUUUGUCUCAUGUUGUACCUUGUUUGUAUGCGGUGUGUAUCUUCAAAAAUGUCCUCACCUGCUCCGUGCUUCCACUAAAGUCCAAAUCAUUCACUUCUCUGCGCAUGACUCAAAUCAUUUACAUUGGCUCAGCAUUCUUCAAAGAGAAAGGGCAGAUAAUUUCAAGAUUUCAGUCGACUUCCUGGUUUACUUCCGCUUGUGGAGCUUCAAGGACGGUAUCUGAUGAAGAGUUGUUGUCUUGCGCCAUCAGAUAUACGAGCUUUAUUAAAACAACAUACACGAGCUGUUACCAAACCAAAACGUGGUAUACAGCUAUGGAAUCAAUGCCAUUAUAUCGCUUUGUCACAUUUUGUUUUGGUUGUGUGAAUUUUUCUUUUAUCUUACUGAUUUUAAUAUUUUAUACUAUUGCGCGUAUUUUACUGCAGAUUGUUUUACAAACCAUGAAGUAGUCAAUCAUAAUAUUUUUGGCGUGUGGCAAAAAAAGGGCAAAUCAGCACAUGCUGAGCGUAUCUUGUUUUCAUUGUUUUUUUUUUUUAAUGUCAUAACACCAAUAACCAAAUUGCUUCUGACAAUGGAAUAGUCACAUUAGUAUGUAUGGCUUACCAUAUUUCAAAUUUUCCCGUGUCAUUAGUUGUGUCUGGUCCAAGUGAAAGCAAAGCCCACUGUUUGUUCCAAGUGCUUGUGAUUGAAAUUAUUGUCUUGCAUUUCAUUGGUUGCUCAUGGGUUUGAUUUUUAUUUCUAUUUAUUACGUGUGUGUUGGUGGCAAUGACAAAUCUGAUCAUUAAAGCAAAACUGUCGGUUCUCUUGCA